GGGCGGGGCGGAGAAACGCCCUGGGGGCGGGGCCUAGGAGGCGGGACCAGAAACCGGAAAUGGCCGUCUCCUGCGCGUAAUUCCGGAAAGGCAGAUAAUCGCAAACUGGGGCAACCGCCUUGGUGUCGGUCCCGCGGUCGCGUCUUCUCCUGGAGGCCCGCCAGUGCAGUUCCAAACCCAAGCCAAGGUCUGCGAGCGUCGCGGCUCACUUGGCCCGGAGGCGCAGUCUGCGGACCGCCGGAGCCUGUCUGGAGCGGGCUUCAGCAGCGGUUCCCACCUCCCGGUCUCCUGCCGGUCCCUGUGCUGAGAAACGCCUUCAGGCCUGCAGGGUCCCCUGCUGCACGCGGACCCCUCCAGGAUGCCCCACUGCCGCCUCUCCAGUGACUUUGGUGCAGUUUGCGCUUCUCAGUGUGUCAGUGUCUCGGAGAACAGCGAUUGUCCCCUUAGAGAUGUGAUGCCGGAAGAGCGAGGUUUUUUCGUAACUAGCAAAAGCCCCUGCCUAUAGCAGAAGAAAGUUUAGUUUUCAUCCAAAUGGAACUCAUGGGCUUUGCAGUUAAGGUCUAUAAAAGAAAUGUUUCUAGCCUGUUAAAAAAGUCUACCUGUUUGACUGGAUACCCAUUUAUAUGUAUUUAAAACAUACUGAGUCAUCUUAAUGUCCAUGUAGACUCUCAGAAAGGCGUGAGUUUUAGCCUAAAAAUAAGCCUUUCUACGUUCAGGAAAAACAAAAUUUCAAACAAUGAUUUAGAGCCCAACCUAUGGUACUCAGAAAUGUAUCACGCUGGAAAGUGCUAUCAAGGACCAAUCUGUAGCAGGUACACCACUUGAGAGCUGCUGGGAAAAGAAAGUAGCGCAGGUAAAAAAAAAAAAAAACACACAAUGGCGGGUGGGAAGCUUUGUGAAAUUUGAGAAUUCCUGUACAAUAGGAGAAAAUCCUGAACUUUUCAGAGCUAGAUUUUGGCCAACCGGAACUACUUCCACUGAUACUGCAAACCAGCAAAGGAGAGAACUGGAAAAUGGAGUUACCUUAAAGCAUUUCUACUUGGAGCCCUGUCUGUUCAAGCUUUAGCACUUGAGACUCCUGCAAAUAUCAUGUGGCCAAUUUAAGAAAGCAACUCUCUUUGGUCAGAGAUUUAAUUCUCAAGAAUGAAAGAAAGAGUGUGUUACAUUAUGGAAUGGCAGCUGCCACAACUCACGCAUGCAUGCGGUUAUCAGAAAAGGAGGAAUUAAGGUGAGCCAAACGGAAAACACACAUCAGUGUGGGGAGACCUAAUGGUCUUUCACCUAGCGAGAGAUAGGUAAAAAAAGCCUGAGAUUGAAUAAAGUAAAGUGGUUGUAGGGCCUGCUCUUCAGCUAUGUGCAUUCACUCCUAAUGGAGUCAGCUUUGCUCUUCCCUGAAGCAUGCUGGUCGUGAACUAGGGAUGGACUCGGGCCAAGGUGCAAGGCCAGGAGUGGUAUCCCUGGGCCAGUGGCCAGGGCGAGGAAUGCCUUCGCAAUAAGAAGAAGAACAUCUGGGCCUGAACGUGAAGUCCCUGGGAACACUGGCUGCCCAAGGACUUGGGAGGAAAAAUAAUAAGCCUUAGCCCCAGCUGGAACAGUAUAUAAACUUGUGUCCCCUGCUAGGCAGUAGCAGAGUGCUAUUCUGGUCCAGCCACUGCCCUGGACUGUCCUGUAAGUAAAUUCCCCAAAUAAACCAUAUGUCCUGAUCACUGGUUGCAAAGUCUUUCUGUGGUCCCUUGGAGACAUGGCCGACCUUGGGUCCAGACGCCACUGGGUUGUUACUCAACAAUUGGUGAGCCAGCCAGGAGCCCGAGGGAACCUCCGUGAGUGCCGGACAUAUGCUGGGGAAAGGGACUGUGACAGGAGGAAUCCUGGGAUGGCCCUCGUCCUCCAUGUGGGGGUGGGGGGGUGGUAGCUAUCUUGGAUAGCUGGAGCCCACUGCCUGAGUACAGGGAUGCCCCCAAAAUGUCUAAGGCCAUUUAGGAUGUGUUGCAUCAGUUGGAGGCCCCAAAACGAAAGCCAGAUUGGCGUGCUGUGACAGCUAGUAUAGGGUGGCUCCUACUGGCAGCCUUGAGAGGGGCAUCUGACACAGAGGUAGCCGCUAGGGCCUGAAUUAGGCAGCUGGAGGCAGACCUGCAACCAGAGAAGGAUUUGCGUGCCGUACAUUCCUCCUCCAUCAAGACAUUAGUGUCCAGUUUGCAGGAGCAAGAGGUGUCUGUGGGGGAAAUCCCAAGUUGGCCAGUGACCGCCAUGUGGGGAGGUCAGCCCACGUGCUUUUCUGUGGGGGAAAUCCCAGGUUGGCCAGCAAAGUCCAGCUAGCUGCUGAAGCUCACAUAAGAGCUUUUCAGAAAGAGCUACAGUUGGAAAGGUAUGCGUAGCAGUCAUGUGAGGGCAUGACUGACAUACUAAGCAGCUGCAUCUGUGAACAGGAUGAGCAACUAGAAAUGCUCACCUGCAGGUUUGUAAAGAUGGUAGAUUCAGGAGCUGAGGGAACAGUCCCUUAGCCAUUGCUCAAAGCCCUCCAACAAUGGGACUGGAGAUGGUUGGAGGGGCUAGCCGGUCCCUGGCAAUGAGAACACCCUGUAACAGUGCAACGCAAGAGUUAAAACAGAGGAAAAAAAGGAAUAUAAAGCCCUUCAAGAUAGCUUGUGUUGAGCGGCCUUGAAUACACCUCAGAGGCCCUCUCUGGAAUUCUCUGAUAGCUGCCCCUGCCAAAGAUAACCGAGCAGUAGCAUAGUUGGAGCUGCAAUAGUAAGGGGCAAACUAAGAUAGCAGAGCCGCCCUCCACGCUCCCAGGCAACUGGUCUGAACCCAUGCUUGCACUUGUAUGGUGGAGGUGUGGCUCCACAAAUGCCUGAGGGCUCUGUCAACUUCGCCUAGAUCUUUCAGAAAUAGUUAAGACUGAGGAUUAAGCCUAGGUCUCUGUCACCACUGAGGACCAAAGGCCUUAUGUUACAAUUAAAUUUCAGUGAGGUAAACUUUUGGGUCUGAGAUCACUAUUAUUGAGACACUUGCCCCAGCCUGACUUUGGGGCCCCUACAAAUCCUUGUUGUAUGUAAUGAUGAUGUAUUAAUGCACACCUUUGUAGACUUUUGCCUCCAAGUCCUGAUGGGAAUUGCUGCAGUUAGGGCCGUUUUUAGCAGGGCAUAUGGAAAUUGGGUUUGCACAGAGGUCACUGCCUCGAGACUCGGACAGACAGCCUGUGUGGCUAUACCCAGGCAACCCUCACCUCAGGUGCCAUGGAACAAAUAGGGGAGACAUUGGGCAUUUAUUUUGUGCUUAACUUGGCUAACGCUUUCUUUAGCAUCCUUCUACAACCAAGCAGCCAGGACCAGUUUACCUUCAAUUAGGAGGCGAGACAGUGGACCAUCACCGUGCUCCCACAAGCGUACCUGCAUAGCCCCACCAUAUGCCAUGUCACAGUUGCAGCUGACUUCAAGUGGUGGACUCCCCCAGCCAAGGUGGCCGUAUUCCUCUAUAUUGAUGAUGUCAUGCUGACCUCUGAUUCCUGUGCUUCUUUGCAGACUGCAGCUGGUGAGGUAGUCAUGCACCUCCAGUCACAGGGAUGGGCGGUGAACAAGGGAAAAAUGCAGGGGCCUGGCUUGUUAGUCAAGUACAUGGGUAUUAUCUGGUAAGACACAAGUGAUCCCUGAAGCAGUGAUAGAUAACAUCCAAGCCUAGCCCCACCCAGAAACUGUAAAACAACCGUAGGCAUUUGUCAGGCUCCUAGGGUAUUGGUGCCAUUUAGCCCAAACCCUGCAGUCCCUGUGUAAGGUAAUGAAGAAGAAGAGCAGCGUGGGACUGAGAGACAAAGGAAGAGGAAGCCUUCCAGCAGGCGAAGUUUGCUGUAAAACAAGUACAGGCUUUAGGAGUGUUAACACAAGGUCAGCCGUGCCAAUUGGACAUAGCCUGUUACCCCGAGGGGUAUGGGUAGGGCUUGUGGCAACAGCAAAGCAACAAGAGAGUGCCACUGGGAUUUUGGUCCCAGUUGUGACGAGGAGCAGAAGAGAGGUACAGCAUGUUGGAGAAAGUCAUGCGCAGUGUAUAACGCCUUACUGCAAGUGGAAGCAAGUCCUUAUAAAGGGCCAAGUUCCCCUUUGCAGGGAGCCUCAGGAUGGGACAUCACCCUCAGGGUGAUGGGUCAGACCCCUCAACAACAGUAUGCUAGAACCCUGCUAGUUGUUGCCAGUAGUUAGGGAAGCAAAAGCAAAGCCUAUGGGCAGGGGCAUACCUGUCGCCCAAGGGGUGGCUUUGGACAUGAGUCCUACAGGGGUGGCAAUACCUGCCCUAUGACUGGGUGAGGUGUUGCACCAUACAUAGCCGCUAAUAUUUACACCACCCUCCCCAGUGUUCCUAGCAACUGGCAAGCCGUUGUACAGCCUGGCAUAGAUACCAGUGCACAUCAUGGUGGUUUUCCUCUUUGGCACUGUUCUCACCCCAGGCCACCACUGUAGAUGUGGAGUGGCAGGUGGAGGCGCUAGCCACACACACCACAGCUGCCUUAAAGAUACCAGGCAGGCUGUCGUCCUUCUGGUUGGGGACAUUCAACAAAUACGGAAGGUCAUCCUUCAGAAUAGGAUGACCGUUGACAUCCUGACUGCUGUCCAGGGCGGCACCUGUGACAUGGUAAAAACUGAGUGUUGCAUAUAUAUCCCUGACGCCUCUAAAUAUGUGUCUUUGGCUCUUCAGGACUUGCAGCAACACAUCGCUGCUAUCAAACAUGAUGCCACUGACCCUAACUCCAGCUGGCUUCAAUCUCUCCCAUCCGCCUGGUGGACAGGCUUCUGGGUGAUAUUGGGACUCUUAUUACUAUGUCUUUUCCUGUGUUAUGGGUUAUACUGUGUAUGUGGUCUGGUUUUGCAAUGCUCCUCUGCAUACCAAGUCUGAGGGCUAUCGUGGAAGAGGGGGCGGUAAGAUCGUAAGGACAUUAGGAGGGUCUGCAGGGGUGGGCUGUAGGGUAACGCUGUUCAGCUAUACGCAUCCUCAUGGAGUCAGCUUUGCUCUUCCCCGAGGCAUGCUGGGGAUGAAUUAGGGAUGAAUUCGGGCUAAGGUACAAAGCUGGGAGUGGCGUGAGUGGGCCGGUAGCCAAAGCCGAGGAAUGCCUUAGCAACAAGAAGGAAAACAUCUGGGCCUGGACGUGAAGUCCCUGGGAACACUGGCUGCCCAAGGACUUGGGAGGAAAAACAAUAAGCCUUAGCUCCGGUUGAAACAGUAUAUAAGCUUGUGCCCCCUGCUAGGUGGUAGAGCGCUAUUCUGGUCCAGCCGCUGCCCUGGAUUGUCUUGUAAGUUCCAGGAAUAAACCUUGUGUCCCAAUCACUGGUUCUGGAGUCUUUCUUUGGUCUCCUGGAGAUGCGGCCGACAUCGGGUCCAGACACCACUGGGUUGUUACCCCACACUGGUGAUAGCAACUCCUCAAGCCAAAAGGAGGGAACAUGAGACUAGGCUAACAGGGAAGGAGGGUGCGGGCAGAGAUACCCGUGCUGUAACUUGGAGCCAGGUGCUCUGGAAUCCUAAGUUAGGUUAUCAGCAAGGGGCUUAGACGUGGAGAGGAGAGAGUAAGAAAGAAAAGGUAAGAGGGCGAACGUCUGUUUACACAUGCCCAGCCCCCUUCAGGCCCCUAAGAGCUAGAGCAAGGGAGAAGGGAGGCACAGGGAGAAGAGAGAGACUGUCUUCAUCAGUGUACUUCAUAUUGGAAAGGAGCUCUGUACCACGUUUUUACUCUGUGAUCUUAGCCUGUCUCUCAGCCUACUUUUCCUUGGCUGUAUAAUAGGGAUAAUCAUACUGAGCUCAUAAGAUGUUUGUGAAGAAUAAAUUACCUAACAAAUAAUGUAAAGGGCUAAAUACAGUGCAUAUCACAUGGUAAAUGUGCAUAAAUAUUAUCUAUCAAUAUUUAUAUAGUCACUUUGUGAGGCCCUAUAGGUCAGGGGUUAGAGCACUGGUCUUGUAAACUAGGGGUCAUGAGUUCAUAUCUCGCUGGAGCCUAUGAGUUAUUUCUUCUCAAAUUUUUGGAAACCCUGGUGGCGUAGCAGUUAGUUGCUAUGGCUGCUAACCAAAAGGUUGGCAGUUUGAAUCCACCAGGCACUCCUUGGAAACUCUAUGAGGCAGUUCUACUCUGUCCUAUAGGGUCGCUAUGAGUUGGAAUCUACUCAACAGCGACGGGUUUGGUUUUGGUUUUCAUAGUCAGUUUACAUCAUAGUCGUAAUACAUUAGAGGAGAUAGCAGAGACAUUUAGAGAUCAUCCAGUAAAGUUUAACCCCGUAAUACAGGCACUUCUUACACUGUGAACUCACAACAUGUGAAAAUUAUAUCCAAAAUAGCCAGCUGUACACUGCCAAAUCUUCUAAUUGCCCUGUAGUCACAGGAAGCCGUUAAAUAUCCCUGACUGACCACACCACCUUGACCAGUGGGGGAAUGGCCUGAUGCUACUUCUCUUUUCCUGUCUACCUUUUCUUCACCAGAGAGACUGUAGUUGCCACACUCCCUUCUGUCUUUCUGUGCUUACCGGACAGUUACGUCCACUCCAGGCUGCGGUGGGGCUCUCUUCAGGCUCAUGCCAAUGCCGAGUCUUCCUCUUCCACACCCACACCUGGGCCCGUGCCCACACCCACACCCACAGCUGCACCCACACCCCCAUCCUCACACACUCAUCCUUUAGUUUCUCCUUUUCCUCUUUUCAACUCCUAUGUGCUUGCUAAAGGGAAACAAAAAAGCUUUCUCUCUUAUUUUCUGUCACAUUAUUUUGUUUAAGACACUAAAGCCAUACCAUCACUAAGGGGGCAGGGGUGGGUGUGGACCACACCGGGUGAUACCAAAAUGACUGUCUAUAAAAUUUUUGUGUAGUAUUUCAGCAGAAAUUUAUUAUUUUUUAUGAAAAUAUUCCUGUGGUUAGUUACAACAAUAAAAGCAUUUUUCGUAAGCCUAGCUUACGUGUAUCAAACACCUACAAGGCUAAAACUCUAUGCUAAUUUACUUUUUGAACCUUAUAAAUGCACUCUGGUCAUAACUGUCAUCAUUAACCAGUUACACUGAUGCUUCAAAUCACAUGAUUUUGUCUGCACGUGCUAAAAGCACAUGCCGUUUUUUUUUUUUUUUUGCAGCCAGUGUUUUUAUAGUCACUGAUUUUGUCAAAUUUUCUGGUGUUUUAGCUACAAUAUUGUGGUAAUUAAUAUUUGGGAAGCCAUAGCAUUAACUGUUUUGAGAGCGGAGCAGUAAUUAAAGGCAAAGGAGUGAUAUACGGAAAUUACAAUUUACGAGUAACAUUAGUACAAAAAACAUUACUAAGGAUUCUGUACGGUCUGGUACUGGAGGAGGUCUACGCAGGGUGGUGACACCAUGAGUUACCGCACCGAGUGACACUAACCCUGGUGAUGCCACUGAGUUAGAACAUAUGUCUGAUCAUGUCUCUUGGUCAAAAAAGUAGAGAGAGUGAUACAACUAUACCAAGGAAAAAGACAGCUUCAAGUUUUGUGUUUUAUGUUUUGAAUGCAACUUAUGUUUAUAAAAGUAGCAAAUGUUACAUAAGUUAUCUCUUUAAGAAUAUUAAUUUUGUACAUGGAUAUUAUCUAGCAACAUUUAUAGAAUGUUUCCUGGGUCCACGAUAAAACUUUAAGGUUUAAUGUAAAAUUAGACUUCAAAAGAGUCAAUGCCAUCAACCUCUACAGAACUUUUUAAUGUGCACAGAAGUUCUUUUUAGAAUUUCCACAAAAAUCUCCAUUAAUGACAUAAUGUCUUUCUCUAAUUAAACUAUCCUCCAUCUUCAACAUACAAAAGAAAUUUUAAACUUACUUCUACCUUAUUGUUCUAUUUGUUUAUUGGUUAUAAUCCAGGAGUAUUGUAUUUUUUCAUGCAUUAAGAAAUAUUUGUUGAAAACGACAGCGGGAUACCAUCUCACCCCAACAAGGCUGGCACUAAUGCAAAAAACACAAAAUAAGAAAUGUUGGAACGGUUAUGGGGAGAUUGGAACACUUAUGCUCUGCUGGUGGAAAUGUAAAAUGACACAACCGCUUUGGAAAACAAUAUGGUACUUCCUUAAAAGCUAGAAAUAGAAAUACCAUACGAUCCAGCAAUCCCACUCCUAGGAAUAUACCCAAGAUAAAUAAGAGCUGUCACAUAAAUAGACAUAUGCCCACCCAUGUUCAUUGCAGCACUAUUCACAAUAGCAAAAAGAUGGAAACACCCUGGGUGUCCAUCAACAGAUGAAUAAACUGUGGUAUGUACACACAACGGGAUACUAUGCAAUGAUCAAGAACAAAGAUGAAUCUGCGAAGCAUCUCACAACAUGAAUGAAUCUGGAGGGCAUUAUGCCGAGUGAAAUUAGUCGCAAAAGGGCAAAUAUUGUAUGAGACCCACUAUUGUAAGAUCUCAAGAAAAUGUUAUAACAGAAAAAAGCAUUCAUUGAUGGUUAUGAUGGUGGGGAAGGAGGGGGAGGGGAAAUCACUAACUAGAUAGUAGGUAAGGCUCAACUUUUGUGAAGGGAAGGACAACACGCAAUACAGGCGAAGUCAGCACAACUGGAUGAAGGCAAAAGCAAAAAAGUUUCCUAGACAUAUCCAAACACUUUGAGGGACAGAGUAGCUGGGGCUGGGGCCUGGGGACCAUAGUUUUGGGGGACAUGUAAGUCAAUUGGUAUAACAUAGUUUACAAAGAAAAUGUUCUAUAUCCCACUUUAGUGAGUAGUGUCUGGGGUCUUAAAAGCUUUUGAGUGGCCAUCUAAGAUACAUCUAUUUGUCCCAUCCCACUUGGAGCAAAGGAGAAUGAAGAACACCAAAGACACAAAGAAAAUACUAGCCCAAAGAACUAAAGGAUCGAAUGAACCAGAGACUCCACCAGCCUGAGACCAGAAGAACUAAAUGGUGCCCAGCUGCCAUCAAUGACUGCCCUGACAGGGAACACAACAGAGAGUCCUAGACAGAACAGGAGAAAAAUGUAGAACAGAAUUCAAAUUCAUGUAAAAAGUUAAGAUUUAAUGGUCUGACAGAGAACAGUGGAGCCCCUGAAACUAUGCCCCCAGAAGCUGUGCUAACCCAGAACUGAAACCUUUCCUGAAGCCCACUCUUCAGACAAAGAUUAGACAGGACUAUAAAAAAAUAAUAAUACACGUGAGGAGCAUGCUUCUUAGUCGAAUCAGAUAUACAUACAAGACCAAAUGGGCAGCUCCUGUCCAAACGCAAGACAAGAAGGCAGGAAGGUAGAGAAACUGGUCAAAUGGACACAGGGAACCCCGGGGUGGAAAAGGGGCGUGUGCUGUCACAUUGUAGGGG